AGCGUAGGCGGACAUUUAAGUCAGGGGUGAAAUCCCGGGGCUCAACCCUCAGAAUUGCCUUUGAUACUGGGUGUCUUGAGUAUGAGAGAGGUGUGUGGAACUCCGAGUGUAGAGGUGAAAUUCGUAGAUAUUCGGAAGAACACCAGUGGCGAAGGCGACACACUGGCUCAUUACUGACGCUGAGGCUCGAAAGCGUGGGGAGCAAACA
rnacentral:rRNA from 1 species